rnacentral:rRNA from 1 species
GACGGAGGGAGCUAGCGUUGUUCGGAAUGACUGGGCGUAAAGGGCGCGUAGGCGGUUUUUUAAGUGAGGCGUGAAAGCCCUGGGCUUAACCCAGGAGGUGCGCUUCAGACUGGAAAGCUUGAGGACGAGAGAGGAAAGUGGAAUUCCUAGUGUAGAGGUGAAAUUCGUAGAUAUUAGGAAGAACACCAGUGGCGAAGGCGGCUCACUGGCCCGGUACUGACGCUGAGGCGCGAAAGCGUGGGGAGCAAACAGG